GUAGGGUGCGAGCGUUAAUCGGAAUUACUGGGCGUAAAGCGUGCGCAGGCGGUCUCGCAAGCUGGGUGUGAAAGCCCCGGGCUCAACCUGGGAGGUGCAUUCAGGACUGCGAGGCUUUGGAGUGCGGCAGAGGGAGGUGGAAUUCCACGUGUAGCAGUGAAAUGCGUAGAGAUGUGGAGGAACACCGAUGGCGAAGGCAGCCUCCUGGGCCGACACUGACGCUCAUGCACGAAAGCGUGGGGAGCAAACAGGAUUAGAUACCCUGGUAGUCCACGCCCUAAACGAUGUCGACUGGUUGUUGGGGAAGGCAACUUCCUUAGUAACGAAGCUAACGCGUGAAGUCGACCGCCUGGGGAGUACGGCCGCAAGGUUAAA
rnacentral:rRNA from 1 species